GUUCAUUACUCUCCUCCUCCAGUAGUAUACCACUCCCCACCCCCACCGGUUCACUACUCUCCUCCUCCCGUUGUAUAUCACUCUCCACCACCACCUGUGCACUAUUCUCCUCCUCCUGUCCAUUACUCUCCCCCUCCAGUCGUAUAUCACUCCCCACCACCACCGGUGCACUACUCUCCCCCUCCGGUCCAUUACUCUCCCCCUCCAGUUUACUCACCUCCACACCACCCAUACCUUUACAAAUCUCCGCCUCCUCCUCACUACUAGAUUACUUAAUCGUCUACUUAAAAGGAGUCUGACGACGAUACAAAAGAAAACAAAGAAUCGUUUGGUGAUAUAAUAAAAGACAGAAGAUCGUCGACGAGAGAAUUGAAACGGAUACAUAUAUGUAUUAAGAGAAAGUUUCCCAUUUUAAUAUCUUUUCUUUAUUUCUGAAUACGUUAUAUUUUAAUAAAUAUCAAACAUGUUGAUGAGUAUGUGGUCCCUUCAUGCAUGCAAAUCAGUCAUAUGUUUGUAAGUUCAAGUCAUGUUUUGCUUUCAAAUUAUUCAAUUUCAAAGUUUGGUUGUUCAACUAAAUUAAUAAAGUAUAAGUUUCUUUUGAUA